rnacentral:rRNA from 1 species
GACGAACGCUGGCGGCGUGCUUAACACAUGCAAGUCGAACGGAGAGGCCCUGCUUUUGUGGGGAGCGCGUGUGGCGCACGGGUGAGUAACACGUGAGUGACCUGCGCUUGACUUUGGGAUAACUUCAGGAAACUGGGGCUAAUACAGCAUAGGAGAUCCUGAAACACGGUGGGGGUGGGAAAGUGUUGGAGGUUGGGGACGGAAGCGCGGCUUAUCAGCUUGUUGGUUGGGUAGUGGCUUACCAAGGCAUUGACGGGUAGCCGGCCUGCGAGGGUGAGCGGCCACAUUGGGACUGGGGUACGAGCCGGAGGGCAACUGGGGGCAGCAGUGGGAAAUAUUGCACAAUGGGCGGAAGCCUGAGACAGCAAUGCCGGGUGCGGAAUGACGGUCUUCGGGGUGUAAACCGCUUGCGCCUGUGACGAAGCGUGAGUGACGGUAAUGGGUAAAGAAGCACCGGCUAACUACGUG